CUGCCAGAUGUCAGGACCACCAGCCUCCGACAGUGUGAAAGCCUUGAAAAAUUAGUGGGGAAAACAGCUUUACCAAACCACAGUUAAAAGUCUCCUCCGCCUCUCCAUUCUUUCUGCAUUUUGAAGCAGGGUUUGUUUUGUAUCCAGGCUUAUGCACAACUUUUGUAAGCAGCAAUAGCAGUUUUGUGGGCACUUGAAAUGGGAGAGAAUUCUAAAGUCGCUGCCUCAUAUUAAACACCAAGAAUGGGGAGGAUUGCCUCUUAGUCCAGAGUCAAAGAUAUCUGAAUUAAAAACCAUGAGAAUUUUAA